rnacentral:tRNA from 1 species
GGAGAUUUAGCUCAGUGGUAGAGCGCUUGCCUAGGAAGCGCAAGGCCCUGGGUUCGAUCCCCAGCUCUG